UACGAAGGGGGCUAGCGUUGCUCGGAAUCAUUGGGCGUAAAGGGUGCGUAGGCGGCGCGGUAAGUCGGGUGUGAAAUCUCGGAGCUUAACUCCGAAACUGCAUUCGAUACUGCCGUGCUUGAGGACUGGAGAGGAGACUGGAAUUUACGGUGUAGCGGUGAAAUGCGUAGAUAUCGGAAGGAACACCAGUGGCGAAAGCGGCUUCCUGGUCCAGCACCGACGUUCAGGCACGAAAGCGUGGGGAGCAAACAGG
rnacentral:rRNA from 1 species